GCCGGGGUAACCCAGACUGGUUAUCUGCAGAGAAGCUGGUCAGACCAGAGAGGGUGCCAGGCUCAUAACCUGGAUGUCGAGGGUUCGAGUCCCUCCCCCGGCA
rnacentral:tRNA from 1 species